GCCAGGCACAGCGGUGCAUACCUGUAAUCCCAGACACUCAGGAGGCUGAGACAGGAGGAUCAGGAGUUCAAAACCAGCCUCAGCACAGCGAGGCGCUAAGCAACUCAGUGAGACCCUGUCUCUA
rnacentral:sRNA from 1 species